UACGGAGGGUGCGAGCGUUGUCCGGAAUCACUGGGCGUAAAGGGCGCGUAGGCGGCACGAGCAGUCUGUGGUGAAAGCCCGUGGCUCAACUGCGGGUCGGCCAUGGAUACUCUCGAGCUGGAGCACUGUAGAGGCAGAUGGAAUUCCGGGUGUAGCGGUGGAAUGCGUAGAGAUCCGGAAGAACACCGGUGGCGAAGGCGGUCUGCUGGGCAGUGGCCGGAAACGGCCUUAAAGCUGACGCUGAG
rnacentral:rRNA from 1 species